GACGAACGCUGGCGGCGUGCUUAACACAUGCAAGUCAAGGGGGCCCAGCAAUGGGCAACCGGCGAACGGGUGCGUAACACGUGAGCAACCUACCGAACUGUGGGGGAUAGCCGGCCUAACGGCCGAGUAAUACCGCAUACGCUCUCAGUGAGGCAUUUCAUUGAGAGGAAACCUACGGGACAGAUCGAGGGCUCGCGGCCUAUCAGCUAGUUGGCGAGGUAACGGCUCACCAAGGCAACGACGGGUAGCUGGUCUGAGAGGAUGGCCAGCCACAUUGGGACUGAGAUACGGCCCAGACUCCUACGGGAGGCAGCAGUGGGGAAUCUUGCGCAAUGGCCUAACGGCUGACGCAGCGACGCCGCGUGUGGGAUGAAGCUCUUCGGAGUGUAAACCAUGUUGCCCGGGAGAACAGCUCGAUUUCUCGAGCCUGACGGUACCGGGUGAGGAAGCACCGGCUAACUCCGUGCCAGCAGCCCGCCGCGUAAC
rnacentral:rRNA from 1 species